GAAUAUUGUCAUGUAACUCCUAAUAAAGAGUAUAUAUAGAAGCAAGAUUGUAGUAUUCUUCACUCUUGUUAAUACCUUUCUAGUCUUUAGUCUUAUUUCAAGACUUUUUAGUCUUCUUAUUUUUGGUAAUAGCCAUUCUAGUUCAAUAAUAUAUCAUCUUUAAGUGAUUUUUUAGUUCUUUUCAAUGUCACAAAAGUAAAAUUCAUAUCUCUUGAUUCAACUAUUCAGAUUUUUCCAAAUUCAUAAAUAUCAUAGAAUUCAUCUUUAAGCUUUAUCUUACAAAAAUUCAACUGUAAAGACGCUACUGAUUGUCUGGCAUCUUAAAAACCCUAGUAGAUGCUCUAAAAUCCUAAUUCACAAGCACCUAAGUACUAUUUU
rnacentral:lncRNA from 1 species